GAAAGUGGCAAGCGUUGUUCGGAUUUACUGGGCGUACAGGGAGCGUAGGCGGUUGGAUAAGCCCUCCGUGAAAUCUCCAGGCUUAACCUGGAAAGUGCAGAGGGGACUGUUCAGCUAGAGGAUGGGAGAGGAGCGCGGAAUUCCCGGUGUAGCGGUGAAAUGCGUAGAGAUCGGGAGGAAGGCCGGUGGCGAAGGCGGCGCUCUGGAACAUUUCUGACGCUGAGGCUCGAAAGCGUGGGGAGCAAACAGGAUUAGAUACCCUGGUAGUCCACGCCUUAAACGAUGGAUACUAAGUGUCGGCGGGUUACCGCCGGUGCCGCAGCUAACGCAGUAAGUAUCCCGCCUGGGAAGUACGGCCGCAAGGUUG
rnacentral:rRNA from 1 species